UAGUCUCUGUUUCAUACCUUCAUAGUUUGCUUUUCUAAAAUUGUAUACCUUAGCUUUAGUCAUUACUUUUGGGGUUUUAAAAAUCACUUUAAAUGAGAUCAUGUUGUGCUCUGGGUUUGCCAAUGUCUCUCUGACCUCUGUUUUAGGUAUUCUGCCUUUGUUAUUUGAAAAGACUAAAUCAAGGCAAUUCUCCCCUCUAGUCGGUACCUUGACAAAUUCCGUUAGGAAGCAGUCAUUUGUCAUUUCCACCAUUUCAAUUUCGUCUGUCGUGCUCCCCACCGGGUUCUCCCAUUUUAUACGGGGGAAGUUGAAAUCCCCCAUUAGUAUGGCCUCCUUUGCUACAGGCAUUUCUAAUGUUAUUGUAUAACAGAUUAUUUUGCUCAGCGUCUGAAUUUGGCGAUCUAUGGCACGCUCCUAUUAUUAUGCCCUUUGAAUUUUUGUACAUUAUUCUGACCCUUAUUGAUUCGCCAUUGUUUUCUUUGUCCAGAUUUAACACCUGGGCUUCAAGACUAUUUCUUAUGUAUAGCGCUACCCCUCUGCCACCUGUCCUGGCUGUCUUUCCUAUACAAAUGCUAAACUCCAGGAUCUGUAGCUAAAUGCCAGCAAACAAACCCGAACUCCACUUCACCAUUGUGCACAUUUAAACUUAUAAUUCACCACUUACAAUAAUAGCACUCACUCUGGACUUGUAACUCUGGACGUGUUUGUGUUUGUUGUGUCUUGUUCGUGUGAUUACUGUUAUUGUUUCGGGUCUGAACCCCACAGUUUUGACUGGCUUUACACAUUGCUGCGUAUAGCAAGUAUUAUUAUUUAAGCAAAUAAUAAAGCUUUGUUUUCAUCAUUGAA